AUGGGGAUGCAUGUCCCAUCUUGGCAGCUGAGGAGAUAAGGUUAUCUCUGCGCUGAUGGGUACUGUCUUGCAGUUAGUGUUGCCAGCUGUCCCACUGCUUUUAUCAGAUCUCUUGGCUGGGUGAGUUUGUUUGUUCCUGGGUGGAUGGCACUAUGUUUUGGCUUGUUCAGCCUUGUACUUGAUAAAACUUGUCUGGCCUGAUCUGCAUUCAAGCGUUUAACUUGUAGUACUCUUUCCCUCUUGUGGGAAUGAGUGUUUCCCAGCCAGCAAUCUGAAUCCAAUAGAAGGAACGGAUCGCUUGUGGCUUGUCUCUCCCAAGAAACCUGGGGGCAGGCGUAGACGGAAGGCCGGAUUCAGCCGGGGGUGCAGAGUGCACCUGCAGGUGUAGCAAGUAGGGCAGAAAGUCCAUUGAAAGGGGGAAUUGUGGCAAGCCAAAGCAGCCCCAAUCCCCCUGCUAUAGGGAGGCUGGCAUGGGGCAGCUCCGCCGGAAGAGCCAAGGGCUCUUGUCAGAACAGUUAGGCAGUUUCUUGGCCCAGCCAACUGCUGGUGGAUUCAAAAGCUGCCCUGCCCUGAUGGAAACCCUGGGGGAGCACACUGGGAGUUGCUGUCACCUGUCCUUCCUUGGGGAACAGGGAGGAUGUAAUGAAUGCAGAAUCUGCCAUAUGCUCUCAGGAUCCCCCUCCGAUCUGCGAUAACUAUAUGGUUGUUGUCUUAGGCCUGGUCUGCACUAGAAAAUUAGGUCGCGUUAACGACGUUGGUCGGGGUGUGAAAAAUGCACACCUCUGAGCAGCGUUGUUAAGCCGACCUAAGUCCUGGUGUACGCAGCACUAGGUCAAUGCAAGAAUUCUUCCGUUGACCUAGCUACUGCCUCUCGGGGAGGUGGAUUACCUAUGCCAACAGGCGAAUCCCUGCUGUCAGCGGAGGUGGUGUCUACACUGAAGUGCUACAGCUGUGCCACUGUAGUGUUUUAAGUGUAGACAAGCCCUUAGUUCUCCCCUGGUGUUUGCAGCUCAAGUUCAGCUCUGUUCCCAGUAGCUUCAUUUAUUUUUGGUGUUUCUCUUGGCAGCAUGCUCAUUGCAUCGACCUGGGCUUCUCUUAGUUCUCUUUUGGCUAUCUGAGGUUCCCAUUUUUAGAGGUCUGUUUCCCAGCACUGAACUCAGUCAUUUGGGGAUUUCAGUUCCCUUUUCUAGCAGGCUUUUAUUUUCAGUUUCCAUCCAUUUCGGUUUUGCCGUUUCAUUCUGUAGGCAAUCAAAGGGAAUUUGUUCUAGUUAAUUUCAUAACAACAUAUGGUUUCAACAUGACAUCCUCUCCUGCCGAUCUAAGCCGUCAUUUAAGCCCGAAUCCUGCUAGGUGCUGAGUGCCUUCAGACCCCAUUGAAGCUGGUGGGAAUUAAGGAUGCUUGGCAUUUUUCUGCAUGCUCUCAGCACCUUGCAGGAUCCGUCCCCUUGGACUCUGGGGAUUUGAUGACCAGGGAACAGACAUUGUUUGCUCUCCCUCUUGAUGGCUCAUGAGCUACGAAUUCUUGUGGCUUUUCUCAACAGUGUUAUUUGAACUUUAGAAGCUUCUCCUUUUUUUCCAGUUGAUGAGCUACCCUUGGCAUUUCUGUCACAUGUGUGACUCAGACAGAUACUUUCUGCCUGGCUUAGGGAUUUCUGUGAGUCUUCAGAUUUGACUAGGCUGCCUUGGGUCAUUGCUGUCCCAUUCUGAUGAAUAGCCACAGUCACUGAUAAUGUGCUAUCAGCGUUGGCUGCACCCGGCUGGAUGUAAUGUGCGUGCAGUGAUUUGUCUGUCACCACCAUCACGUUUCGGAAAUGGUAUUCUCCUCCCCUUCCUAUCCAGAACUGUUGCUGCCGUACACUGUUAAUCAGCUGCCCUGUUCCAUCCCAGAGGUGGCUGCCUUUCAGUGUUGUGAUUCCUAUGUACAGUUUGUAAAGCCCUUUGGGAUGAACAGGACUAUAAAUACACCCUUCAGCGGCGAUUCCUCUGUGACUCACCUUCACGAACCCAGAAAGAACCAGAACGAGAUUCUCAUGUGCUGGGACUUCUUUUGGGGCCCGAGACUUGAUUCUCCACCAGCCUGACCUCCAGCUAAAGGGGAGACUACACCCUGCAUCUCAGUUUUCAGAUGCAAGUCAGCAGUGUGGCGAUGCUAUGGUGCAGAGACAAGCCAGAGAUCCACCUGUAGUCUCUCCAUCAAAGACAGUGGAGGCCUCCCUGCAGUUACAAGCUCUGCUGACACAUGGUGGGAUUCAUUCCGAGCCCGGCGCAGGGACCAAGAGGGCAGGCAAUGCACCUCCCCUAACUUGGGGCUGAUUUGGCCCUUUGGUAUCAGUCAGGGCAGCUGUAAUUUACACUAUGGUUGCAACAAUCUCUGUAGACCACUGCCAAAUAGCUGGCAUUCGGGAAUGCCCUGUCCUCUCCUGCUCCUCCACCAAUGCCCCUGCUACAGGGUUAUGGAGCUGGCUACGCUGACUAUGUGCCCAUUGGAGACGCCUUCUACAUUGGGGGUAUUCCCUGAAUCUAUAUGGCACAUGGCAAGGAUGAAUUCCCCCCUCCCCAAUGCACCAGGAAAAGGGCUCUCUCUCUGUGUAUAUAUAUAUGUUUCAGCUGUGGUGCUGAAAGGCCUCUUGCUGUGGUCCAGGGCCCCACAAAACCUUAAUCUGCUUUGCAAGGACGGUGUGAAUUUGCAUGCAGCCUCUAUCUGAAGUGACAGGGCAGAGGGGGAUUUCUGGAGUAACUUCUGUCUUUCAAGAUCUUGCUCCCUUUUUUGGGGAAACCCCCAUCCCCUCCCAUCAACCACAUCGGAGCGUCCCCUCUGCGCCUCAACAAGAUCAUUUCCCUCCAUGAAAUCUGACAGUCCCAGUUUCCCAUUGAAUUGUAGCUGUUACUGUGGGAGGGGAGGCUAAAGAGAUCAGCCAGGCCAAUGCUUCCUCCUGGGAGGAGAGCAGCUAGGACAUUACUUUUUUGUGGGGUGGGAGUGGGAAGGAGCAAAUGGGGUGAUGGUCCUGUGAUGUUGACAGACCAGGUGCCAGCUCUUGGCAAGGCCCCUAGGCCUUACUGAACACUGACAAAUGCAUAGCUGGAUUAGUCUAGGUGUUAGUAUUGUUAAAAUAGGUAUUAGAUUUAUAAAAAUGUAUUUUGUGUUUAGACUUUAUGAAAUGCUUGUGAGUUUCUGCAUGUGUUAAUCUCACUUACAAUAGCUGUAUCCCAUGUUAGACAAUAUUAAAGAGUUGGCUCUGAAAUUCUAAAUCUGGAGAGCAGCAUUACCAAGUGUGAAAUACUAUUUUGCCACAAGAGGUCUCAUCUCCUGUCCAACAAAAGAAGGCCCAUAGACACCAGACAAGUCAUUGUGGAACAUCAGAGGACAAAAUACUUUGCUGAUUGUUUCCCCCUCCAGCCAUGAACAGGGGACAUGCAUGUGGACUCAUCCCAUCAGCUUGAACUCUGGGGGAAGCGAAUAAAAAUCCCUGACAAGGAGAAACUGUAUCUUUAUGCUGCUUGGACUCUGAGGGGAAAGGGUUACUAAGCAUAAGCAAAAGAUCCCCAGUGCUUGGCCUGGGUUAGCUCUUAAGGACAUAUAGAGCUUGCUUAUUAUAGAUGCUUCUGCCACCGGUUGGAACCUAAGAAUGUAACUCGUGUGUGUGUGUGUUUACCUGCUUUAACCUUGUCAAUAACUCCCUUACUUCUUUUUCUUAGUUAAUAAAUUUGUAAUUAGUUUAUUAUAGGCUAGUUUA